rnacentral:rRNA from 1 species
AAUGAACGCUGGCGGUGUGCCUAACACAUGCAAGUCGAGCGGCCGCAUCGUGAGAUUUCUCCCUUGCCGUUGGCGGCGGACGGAUGGGUGAGGCAUGCAUAAGCAUCUACUAUUUCUUGGAUAAUAUCGUAGGGACACUGCCACUAAUACCUCAUACAACCUACGGCUUGGUUCAGUAGUUCUUCACGCCUUUGCCGACACUAUUAGCUGAUUCCGCGCCGCAUUAGCUAGUUGGUAAGGUAACGGCUUACCAAGGCAACGAUGCGUAGCCGACCUGAGAGGGUGAUCAGCCACACUGGAACUGAGACACGGUCCAGACUCCUACGGGAGGCAGCAGUAGGGAAUCUUCCACAAUGGGCGAAAGCCUGACCGAGCAAUACCGCGUGAGUGAUGAAGGCCUUCGGAUUGUAAAGCGCUUUUAUUAGGAAAGAACAAAUGUAGAAGAAACUAUGCACGUCUUGACGGUACCCAAACAGAAAGCCACGGCUAACUUCGUG